rnacentral:lncRNA from 1 species
UUUAUAACUUGUUUCAUUUGCCUAAUUACUGUCGUGUGACCAUCUCCAACCAAUUGUAAUAACAUCCGAUAGAAACGAAAUCAUCAUUAGCUCUCGACAUCAUUGGCACAAAUGGCAACCUACGAGUUCAAAAAUUAGAGUUGAAAAUGUUGGUGAAUACCAAUAUCGAAUAACUGGCGAAACAACCCUGGAUUAGUUUUUACUUCGGGUUCGUCAAUUCUCCAUAUAACUCGAGAUGGUGAAUACCGCCAUAAGAUCCGGUAUCAGUUUUUCUGUAAAAUUUCAAUGACGUCUCGACGCGAAAGAUUCCUUUAGGAACUUUUUAAAAUGAAUCUAAUUUCAAAGAUAAUUUGUUUUUGGCACAAACCUGAUACUUAUAACUGAAAGGGAUAACAAAUGAUUUUUUUACUUUAUUGGGAGCAGGGCUGCACCAAGAGUAGUUGCCGCCAGCUGAUCAUUGACCAUCUUGUUAUUUUGUUACAAAACUGAUAGAUUCAGUUUGAAUCUUAUGUUUUUUGGAGAUUAUAAUUUUUGAUAUAUUAGCAUUAAUUAUAAAUUACUAACAAAACAAUAGUAGUGAGUAACCUAAAUCUUAUGUUUAUCAUAUUCUGUUGUGAAAUAUCGAGUGAAGUAAUAUAUUUUUUAACUUAUAAAAUGCACAAUUAUGUUAUACUAACGAUGGAUAACAAUAGAUUUUUAAAUGCACAACAGCUUUUAACUGGACUGCCCAACCUGACGUCAAAUCCUCAAUCAUUUCUAAAAUGUCAGGUUCCAAAGAUCUCCCUAACUCGGAGUGGGUACAGAAAUAACAUCGAUCGGAAGACGAAACUCAAACUUUUCAAAAGAAUCGUACUCUUUUUCUAGUGCAGGCGAGUAAAUUUUGCAUUGGAAAAUUAUAAAUUUGUUUCCUUUCUCUGAUGUUAAAAAGUAUGAAUCAGCAGUUAAAAAUUCAUUCAAAAAAAUUAUAUUUCGGAAACCAUUCCAUAGACAUAAUUCCAAAGCCGUUCUGUUUUGUCAUUACCAAUUACUAAUCUAAACCUUUAUCGUAAUCAUACAUAAAAUUAAUAAUAAAUUUAAGAUUGCAACUUCAUUAGUAAUCUUUUUCAUAUUUUUGUUAAAUAAUAUAAGACACAGUACUGUAAUAAUUAUUGCUCAAAUAUAUUACGUAUCUGGAAUUUAAAUGUUUAUUUUAUUUUAUUUGUUUUGCAUUACAGGCUAUUAUGAAAAAUUAUCACGACGACUAUAUUAUAGUAAUAUACAGUGGCGUAUCAAAAACUGAAUGGUCCUCUAUGCUAGCGAAUUUGAUGGACAUCCAUUUAGAAUUUUUAGUUGCUUCCGUGAAAAGCAUCGUUGACUUGGUGCUUUUCACACUAAAUCUAGUGUCUUUUUA